rnacentral:rRNA from 1 species
GACGAACGCUGGCGGCGUGCUUAACACAUGCAAGUCGAACGGAAAGGCCCUGCUUUUGUGGGGUGCUCGAGUGGCGAACGGGUGAGUAACACGUGAGUAACCUGCCCUUGACUUUGGGAUAACUUCAGGAAACUGGGGCUAAUACCGGAUAGGAGCUCCUGCUGCAUGGCGGGGGUUUGAAAGUUUCGGCGGUUGGGGAUGGACUCGCGGCUUGUCAGCUUGUUGGUGGGGUAGUGGCUUACCAAGGCUUUGACGGGUAGCCGGCCUGAGAGGGUGACCGGCCACAUUGGGACUGAGAUACGGCCCAGACUCCUACGGGAGGCAGCAGUGGGGAAUAUUGCACAAUGGGCGGAAGCCUGAUGCAGCAACGCCGCGUGCGGGAUGACGGCCUUCGGGUUGUAAACCGCUUUCGCCUGUGACGAAGCGUGAGUGACGGUAAUGGGUAAAGAAGCACCGACUAACUACGUG